GUUGAGACCAAACCAACGACCUUGAUCUCUGGCUACGACUUAAUAUUGCUGUUCUGGCAAACAACAAUUCUUUUGAAAGCACAAACUCAGGUCUUCUUUUGUUUUACGACAAGAGUUCCAUUCCCACAGUGACUGCAUAAACUAAGCAUCAGGAUCCAGGAAUUAGUCGAAAUACACCAUAAUCAAUCACUAACAACGUACGACGGUGGUAAAUGAGCAUACCUUCUUGUUGGUGAUGAACUUACCCCCAAAGAGAAGAAUGAGGAGUUGGGAAAGAUAAAACAACAUGACAGCAAUCUGUCUUACUCUCUGCUUGAAACUCAUCUCAGAAUCCAGUGCAUGUCACUGGUCUCGGGAGGACAUUUGGACCAGGGUGGCCCUCGGGAACAAAAAAAUAGCAAGUGGAUCGCAGACGUAGACAGUCAGUGGAAGUGGAAUGGGGGGGAACUUUAUCAGCCUGGUCACAGCACACAAUCCACUCCCACUCAACAGGUGAAAACGCAGCCAAGGUUUUUGGCCUCAAGAAUCACAACAGUCAGCUUCCCUGCUGUUGGAACAUACCUCAAGGACAAACAAAUGUCUCCAAGCCUCUCACUCUAAUACACAGAAAAAGAGAUCCCGCCACUCCUGCAGUGACUGGCUGAAGUCCACGCUGCUCAUCGGUAUCUUCACCACCCCGAUUGCGUCGUGCUUGGAAAAGCGGUCAAAGUCGUACACGGUCAUCACUAGUGUCUUGCCGCCCAGCUCGGUGUAUGGUACCUGUAGCAAAUAGACUUUAACGUAAGGAUCCGAGCUUCCGCCAACAUCCAUAGCAGGAAGACCAUCUGCCUGCAAGAUGCCCACUACAAGCUAGAAGGCACUUAAAGUGAAAGCAGGAUGUGCAAUGUAUGACUGCAUCUGACCGAGGCGUGACAUGGAGGGCAGAGGGGAGCAUCACGCGUGAGGACGUGUGCGCACUGCUCCACAGAGGUGACAGCCAUGCACAGAGAGAGGAAGAGGAGGAGGAGAGAACAUGACAGGCCAGUACAGGACAGGCGGAGGACAAGUGUGCGGAACAGAGCGAGAUCAAGUUCCGGACCUGAGCCCCAUUCACCUUGAAACACCAGAAAUAAGCGAGAGAUGUUGUGCAGCAUGGAGGGUGAGAAAGAGAUGAGGGGGCGGGGGGUACACACCUGGAUUCAAGGAUGAAUUCAAUCAUUUUUGACAAAGGUUAAGGUUACUGCAGCUUCAUAAAACACAGCGUAGGCCUUUUUGUGUUAUCAAGGGAAUACAUUGAGGGACUCCUUCAAAAGUUAUAUGGGAAAUCAAUGAAGUGACUAAUAUACUAUGAGACAAACAUGAGUAGGGUUGUGCAUACAAAGGACCAAAUAUACAGUAUGUAAGCAUACACACAGGCACACUAUUUCCAUUGUUUUUUUAAAAUAACGCACUAUUGAAGUAUAUGUAAAUAAUACAUUUACACAAAUUACCUAUUUCAAAUGUGGGGGAAA